CUUAAGUUUCCUUUUAAAAGUUCCCAACCCGCUCUCAUCUGUCUUCCCCAAGUAAGCCUCUCACCGCCGUUCUGCCCCAGCAUCGGCUUUCUCUCCUUCCUCUCCCUCUCCUCCAGUCCCUGAACCAAAUCCGUUCAACUUGUCGGCACCCCUGGGAAUUGAAUAAGUGCCUGUCGCAAGUUGUCUCCUGCCUUCCAAGUUUUCGACAGGUCAGGGAUUAAUUAAGUGCCUGGCGCAAGUUGUCUCCUGCCUUCUAGUUUUCGGCAGAGCAGGGAGUCAAAUAAGAUUCAGCUAUGGACGUUGACCAUUACAACGUCCUGGGUUUGCCUUCCGGCGAGGAAGGAGCUAAUUUGACUCAAAAAGAAAUUACCAAGGCUUACAGAGAAAAAGCCCGUGAUCUUCAUCCUGAUAAAAGAAAAGAUGACCCAAAUGCACAUGAGAACUUCAUAAAGCUCAAAUCCUCAUACGAAAUUCUGGUUGAUGAAAAAGCCCGAAAGCUCUUUGAUGAUCUCCUUCGGAUGAAACGUGAACAGCAACGUCGUUUUGCACAGCAAGACUCAAAGCGACGAAAAAUGAUGUCAGAUUUGGAAGAUAGGGAACGUGCUUCAUUUGCUCCAGAUCCUGCCAUGAAGGCUAAAGAGGAAGAGGAGAGAAUUGCUAGGAAAUUGAAAGAGGAGAUUGCAAGGAUACGUGCAAUGCAAGCAAAUAAAGGUGCAAGUAUGGGGACGGGCUCAGGUCAAGAAAAGGUGGGGAGAGAAGGGAACAGUGGGGUUGGGGGCCAUGUGGGAGUGGAUAAAGAGAGAGUUUUAAAGGUUUCUUGGGAAAAAAUUGGCGAAGGUUAUACAGCGGAGAAGUUAAGGGAACUGUUUUCUAGGUUUGGCGAAGUUGAAGAUAUUGUAGUGAACAGUUCAAAGAAAAAGGGAUCUGCGCUUGUCGUCAUGGCUACAAAACAUGCAGUUGAUGCUGCUACAGGCAGUGUUAGUGGGAAUCUAGAUAAUCCAUUGUUAGUUGUGCCUCUUAAACCCUCUGUUGCGGAGUUUCCAGCCGCCAAGAAGGAAGAGCAAAGUGAUCGAUUGAGUAAUUUGGUUGGAGCUGGUUACCAAGCUUUUGAAGAUGCUGUUUUAAAUAAACUGACAAAGGCUGCCCAAAAACAACAAAAAUGAUGACAAAAAGGUCUUAGGAGCAGAUUGCAAAUGCAUCAGUGGCAUUUUAUCCAACAGAUGUUUUGCCAACAUGUCCUAAAUUUACUAGUUCGGGAUUGAAUUUCAGCUUUCUGAAGUUUGCCUUUUAAGAAGAGAGAUGAACCAUUCGGGUUAAAGACACAAGUUCUUAUGAUGAAACCAAGGGUUAUGUGAAGCAACCAUGGGAUAUGGGGCUGUUUUUGAGCGUUUCCUUGUUGCCCCAUGCUUGGUCAAAUGAAGGAAAAGUGGGCAUCUCGAUGAUGGGAGGCUCAGGCUGUUCUUUUUGGGGUUGGGUGGUUGGUUAAGAUGCAGCCAUGCUGGUCAAUUUUGGUGAGGUGGAGAGUGACCCAAAGCUUCUUGCAGGCAGUGAUUCAACAUGUGCUUCUAAUUGAUCUUACAUUUUGUCAACCAAAUAUAUUAAUUUUACAUUCUAAUCAAAUGAAUCAAAUAAGUUAACAUCA